rnacentral:rRNA from 1 species
AACGCGAAGAACCUUACCAAGGUUUGACAUGGCCGGAAAAGCCUCAGAGAUGGGGUGUCCGUAAGGGUCGGUCACAGGUGGUGCAUGGCUGUCGUCAGCUCGUGUCGUGAGAUGUUGGGUUAAGUCCCGCAACGAGCGCAACCCUCGUCCUAUGUUGCCAGCGGGUAAUGCCGGGGACUCAUAGGAGACUGCCGGGGUCAACUCGGAGGAAGGUGGGGAUGACGUCAAGUCAUCAUGCCCCUUAUGUCUUGGGCUGCAAACAUGCUACAAUGGCCGGUACAAAGGGCUGCGAAACCGCAAGGUAGAGCGAAUCCCAAAAAGCCGGUCUCAGUUCGGAUUGGGGUCUGCAACUCGACCCCAUGAAGUCGGAGUCGCUAGUAAUCGCAGAUCAGCAACGCUGCGGUGAAUACGUUCCCGGGCCUUGUA